UAGCGUAUAUUAAAGUUGUUGCGGUUAAAAAGCUCGUAGUUGGAGGUCAGUUGCGGACUGGGGCGGGAGGUCACCGCCCGGUGCUUCCCCUCUAGGCUCCGAACAGCUUCCGUGAGUGGAAGCCAAGCCGGCUUAGCCGGGGUGCUCUUUACCGAGUGUCCCGCGCAACCGGCCAGUUCACCUUGAAUAAAUGAGAGUGCUCAAAGCAGGCUACUCUGGAAUACAAUGCCCGAAUGUUACCUGCAUGGAAUGAUGGAAGAUGAUCUCGGUUGCAUUUUGUUGGUGGUGGCAGCCCGAGGUAAUGAUAAAGAGGGACUGUCGGGGGCAUCCGUACUACGACGCGAGAGGUGAAAUUCAGUGACCGUCGUAGGACGAACAACAGCGAAAGCAUUUGCCAAGAAUGUCUUCGUUGAUCAAGAACGAAAGUUAGAGGAUCGAAGGCGAUCAGAUACCGCCCUAGUUCUAACCCUAAACGAUGCUGACUAGCAAUUCGCCGUCGUUAUUCCCAUGACGUGGCGAGACGCCCCCGGGAAACCUCAAGUCUUUGAGUUCCGGGGGUAGUAUGGUUGCAAAAGUGAAACUUAAAGGAAUUGACGGAAGGGCACCACCAGGAGUGGAGCCUGCGGCUUAAUUUGACUCAACACGGGAAACCUGACCAGGCCCGGACACCAGAAGGAUUGACAGAUUAAGAGCUCUUUCACGAUUUGGUGGGUGGUGGUGCAUGGCCGUUCUUAGUUGGUGGAGUGAUUUGUCUGGUUAAUUCCGGUAACGAACGAGACUCUGGCCUACUAAAUAGUGGACGUUGGUUUUGGUGCAUGGGCCACGUUCGACACAGUCUUCUUAGAGGGAUGAGCAGCGAGUAUAGCUGCAGGAGAUUGAGCA
rnacentral:rRNA from 1 species